GACAGAGGGUGCAAACGUUGUUCGGAAUUACUGGGCGUAAAGCGCGUGUAGGCGGCCCCUGUAAGUCGGGUGUGAAAUCCCACGGCUCAACCGUGGAAGUGCAUUCGAAACUACAGGGCUAGAGUUCUGGAGAGGAAGGUGGAAUGCUUGGUGUAGAGGUGAAAUUCGUAGAUAUCAAGCGGAACACCGGUGGCGAAGGCGGCCUUCUGGACAGUAACUGACGCUGAGACGCGAAAGCGUGGGGAGCAAACAGG
rnacentral:rRNA from 1 species